CUAAAAAGAUGGCAGUACUUUCCACCAACAGCAGUUCUAGAGAGAGUUGACACUUUGGGUCUGAGUGA
ensembl:snoRNA